rnacentral:snRNA from 1 species
GUGCUUGCUUUAGCAGCACAUAUAUGAAAACUGGAAGGAUACGGAGAAGAUUAGCAUGACUCCUGGGCAAGGAUUGCCAGGCCUAGAGGCCUGAGGGCUACCCGAGUCUU